UACGAAGGGGGCUAGCGUUGCUCGGAAUUACUGGGCGUAAAGCGCACGUAGGCGGCUCUUUAAGUCGGAGGUGAAAUCCUGGAGCUCAACUCCAGAACUGCCUUCGAUACUGUAGAGCUUGAGUUCGGGAGAGGUGAGUGGAACUGCGAGUGUAGAGGUGAAAUUCGUAGAUAUUCGCAAGAACACCGGUGGCGAAGGCGGCUAUCUGGACCGACAUUGACGCUGAGGCGCGAAAGCGUGGGGAGCAAACAGG
rnacentral:rRNA from 1 species